rnacentral:rRNA from 1 species
UCGAGGAUCUUCGGCAAUGGGCGCAAGCCUGACCGAGCGACGCCGCGUGCGGGAUGAAGGCCUUCGGGUUGUAAACCGCUGUCAGAGAGGCGGAAAUAUAGGGGGGUUCUCCCUUCUAUUUGACCUAUUCUCAGAGGAAGUGCGGGCUAAGUCCGUGCCAGCAGCCGCGGUAACACGGACCGCACGAACGUUAUUCGGUAUCACUGGGCUUAAAGGGUGCGUAGGCGGCUUGGCAAGUUGGGUGUGAAAGCCCUCGGCUCAACCGAGGAAUUGCGCUCAAUACUGCCGAGCUCGAGAGAGACAGAGGUAAGCGGAACUAAUGGUGGAGCGGUGAAAUGCGUUGAUAUCAUUAGGAACACCGGUGGCGAAGGCGGCUUACUGGGUCUUUUCUGACGCUGAGGCACGAAAGCCAGGGGAGCGAACGG